ACUCCUACGGGAGGCAGCAGUGGGGAAUAUUGCGCAAUGGGCGAAAGACCUGACGCAGCCACGCCGCGUGAGUGAUGAAGGCCCGAGGGUCGUAAAGCUCUGUCGGGAGGGAAGAAGUUCUGACGGUACCUCCCAAGAAAGCACCGGCUAACUCCGUGCCAGCAGCCGCGGUAAUACGGAGGGUGCAAGCGUUGCUCGGAAUCACUGGGCGUAAAGCGUACGCAGGCGGUUUGUCAGGUCGGAUGUGAAAGCCCGGGGCUCAACCCCGGAACUGCAUUCGAAACCGGCAGACUUGAGUACGGGAGAGGAGAGCGGAAUUCCUGGUGUAGAGGUGAAAUUCGUAGAUAUCAGGAGGAACACCCGUGGCGAAAGCGGCUCUCUGGCCCGAUACUGACGCUCAUGUACGAAAGCGUGGGGAGCAAACAGGAUUAGAUACCCUGGUAGCGACUGA
rnacentral:rRNA from 1 species